rnacentral:rRNA from 1 species
UACAGAGGGUGCGAGCGUUAAUCGGAAUUACUGGGCGUAAAGCGCACGUAGUCGGCUUUGCAAGUCGGGUGUGAAAUCCCCGGGCUCAACCUGGGAACUGCAUCCGAGACUGCAUUGCUAGAGUAUGGGAGAGGGAAGCGGAAUUUCUGGUGUAGCAGUGAAAUGCGUAGAUAUCAGAAGGAACAUUAGUGGCGAAGGCGGCUUCCUGGGCCAAUACUGACGAUCAGGUGCGAAAGCGUGGGGAGCAAACAGG